AUUCUACUCCCUCCGUUCCGAAAUAGAUGACUCAAUUUUGUACAAAGUUAGUACAAAGUUGCGAAAUAGAUGACUCAAUUUUGUAUAAAGUUAGUACAAAGUUGAGUCAUCUAUUUUGAAACGGAGGGAGUACCUG
rfam:Triticum aestivum genome assembly, contig: Triticum_aestivum_CS42_TGACv1_scaffold_436414_5DL